rnacentral:rRNA from 1 species
GACGAACGCUGGCGGCGUGCCUAAUACAUGCAAGUCGAGCGAAUGGAUGGGAGCUUGCUCCCUGAAGUUAGCGGCGGACGGGUGAGUAACACGUGGGUAACAUGCCUGUAAGAUUGGGAUCACUCCGGGAAACCGGAGAUAAUACCGGAUAACACUUUGACCCGCAUGGUUUAAAGUUGACAGCUGGUUUCGGCUAUCACUUACAGAUGGACCCGCGGCGCAUUAGUUAGUUGGUGAGGUAACGGCUCACCAAGGCAACGAUGCGUAGACGGCCUGAGAGGGUGAUCGGCCCCACUGGGACGGAGACACGGCCCAGACUCAUACGGGGGGCAGCAGUAGGGAAUCCUCCGCAAUGGACGAAUGUCUGACGGAGCAACGCCGCGUGAACGAUGAAGGCCUUCGGGUCGUAAAGUUCUGUUGUUAGGGAAGAACAAGUACCAGAGUAACUGCUUGUACCUUGACGGUACCUAACCAGAAAGCCACGGCUAACUACGUGCCAGCCGCCGCGGUAA